ACUCCUACGGGAGGCAGCAGUAAGGAAUAUUGGACAAUGGGCGAAAGCCUGAUCCAGCCAUGCCGCGUGCAGGAAGACGGCCCUAUGGGUUGUAAACUGCUUUAAUAUGGGAGGAAACCCCCCUACCGUGUAGGGGCGUGACAGUACCAUAAGAAUAAGCAUCGGCUAACUCCGUGCCAGCAGCCGCGGUAAUACGGAGGGAUGCAAGCGUUAUCCGGAUUUAUUGGGUUUAAAGGGGUUCCGCAGGCGGAUCAAUAAAGUCAGUGGUGAAAGCCCGCCAGCUCAACUGCGGAACUGCCAUUGAUACUGUUGGUCUUGAGUGUGGUUGAAGUGGGCGGAAUGUGUCGUGUAGCGGUGAAAUGCUUAGAUAUGACACAGAACACCGAUUGCGAAGGCAGCUCACUAAGCCAUUACUGACGCUCAUGGACGAAAGCGUGGGGAGCGAACAGGAUUAGAUACCCCUGGUAGCAC
rnacentral:rRNA from 1 species